GUUAGGAAUAUUGGACAAUGGGCGCAAGCCUGAUCCAGCCAUGCCGCGUGAGUGAUGAAGGCCUUCGGGUUGUAAAGCUCUUUAGUCCACGAAUAUAAUGACUGUAGUGGAAGAAUAAGCCCCGGCUAACUUCGUGCCAGCAGCCGCGGUAAUACGAAGGGGGCGAGCGUUAUUCGGAAUCACUGGGCGUAAAGCGUGCGUAGGCUGUUUUGUAAGUCAGAAGUGAAAGCCCAGGGCUUAACCCUGGAAUUGCUUUUGAAACUACAAGACUCGAAUUCGGGAGAGGAUAGCGGAAUUGUCAGUGUAGCAGUGAAAUGCGUAGAUAUUGACAGGAACACCAGUGGCGCAAGCGGCUAUCUGGACCGAUAUUGACGCUGAGGCACGAAAGCGUGGGGAGCAAACAGGAUUAGAUACCCGGGUAGUCC
rnacentral:rRNA from 1 species